rnacentral:rRNA from 1 species
UACGUAGGGGGCAAGCGUUGUCCGGAUUUAUUGGGCGUAAAGAGCGUGUAGGCGGCCAUACAGGUCAGCUGUGAAAACUCGAGGCUCAACCUCGAGACGUCGGUUGAAACCGUAUGGCUAGAGUCCGGAAGAGGAGAGUGGAAUUCCUGGUGUAGCGGUGAAAUGCGCAGAUAUCAGGAGGAACACCAAUGGCGAAGGCAGCUCACUGGGACGGUAUUGACGCUGAGACGCGAAAGCGUGGGGAGCAAACAGG